rnacentral:rRNA from 1 species
AAGGUGCGGCAGCUACCAUGCAGUCGAGCGGUAACAGAUCCAGCUUGCUGGAUGCUGACGAGCGGCGGACGGGUGAGUAAUGCAUAGGAAUCUGCCCGAUAGUGGGGGAUAACCUGGGGAAACCCAGGCUAAUACCGCAUACGUCCUACGGGAGAAAGGGGGCUUCGGCUCCCGCUAUCGGAUGAGCCUAUGUCGGAUUAGCUAGUUGGUGAGGUAACGGCUCACCAAGGCCACGAUCCGUAGCUGGUCUGAGAGGAUGAUCAGCCACAUCGGGACUGAGACACGGCCCGAACUCCUACGGGAGGCAGCAGUGGGGAAUAUUGGACAAUGGGGGGAACCCUGAUCCAGCCAUGCCGCGUGUGUGAAGAAGGCCCUCGGGUUGUAAAGCACUUUCAGCGAGGAAGAACGCCUAGCGGUUAAUACCCGCUAGGAAAGACAUCACUCGCAGAAGAAGCACCGGCUAACUCCGUGCCAGCAGCCGCGGUAAUACGGAGGGUGCAAGCGUUAAUCGGAAUUACUGGGCGUAAAGCGCGCGUAGGUGGCUUGAUAAGCCGGUUGUGAAAGCCCCGGGCUCAACCUGGGAACGGCAUCCGGAACUGUCAAGCUAGAGUGCAGGAGAGGAAGGUAGAAUUCCCGGUGUAGCGGUGAAAUGCGUAGAGAUCGGGAGGAAUACCAGUGGCGAAGGCGGCCUUCUGGACUGACACUGACACUGAGGUGCGAAAGCGUGGGUAGCAAACAGGAUUAGUCCCUG